GAGGGUGAUCGGCCACAUUGGAACUGAGACACGGUCCAAACUCCUACGGGAGGCAGCAGUGGGGAAUAUUGCACAAUGGGCGAAAGCCUGAUGCAGCAACGCCGCGUGAGUGAUGAAGGCCUUCGGGUCGUAAAACUCUGUCCUCAAGGAAGAUAAUGACGGUACUUGAGGAGGAAGCCCCGGCUAACUACGUGCCAGCAGCCGCGGUAAUACGUAGGGGGCUAGCG
rnacentral:rRNA from 1 species